UCCUCUACGGACCAUGAGAAAAUGAUUUACCGGUAGGUAUAUUAAAAUCCUAUUUAUUUGUAUAGCGCUCUUUCUCCGAUAGGACUCAAGGCACUUAACAGAUACAUAGCAUGAUAUAGUACAGAAAAUAAUGAAGUACAGAACAGCUUUUCAUAAAAUACAGAAGCAUGUAGAUAAUAAAGGGACAUUAUGGGAAUGCUUGAGUAAACAGUAAAGUCUUGAGUCUACUUUUGAAGGAUUCUAUAGUUGGGGCCUCUCGCUCUGUGCGGGGAAGUGAGUUUCAUAGAGUUGGAGCCACAUGACUAAACGCUCGACCCCCAGAUGAAUUACGGGAGAUUCUAGGUACUGCUAAAAGUCCUUCAUCUACAGAUCGCAGUAAUCGAGUGGGGCAGUAUGGGCUCAAAAGCUGCUUCAUGUACUUUGGGCCCUGGUCAUGUAGUGCUUUGAACCUCGGUAAGCCAAUCUUGAAGAUGAUUCGUCAUCUUACAGGCAGCCAGUGAAGGGAGUGGGAGUACGGGUGUUAUGUGGCUAGAACGGGGCUGGUCGGUUAACAGCCUGGCAGCUGUGUUUUGCACCAGCUGUAAGCAGUACAAUUCUUUUGCUGGGAGACCAAGGUAGAGGGCAUUACAGUAGUCUAAUCGAGAUGUUACAAAUGAAUGGAUGACUUUUGGCAGAUCAUCUGAGGCAAUUAAGUGCUUGAUUCUAGCUAUGUUCCUCAGGUGAAAGAAUGAGGAUUAGAUUGUGGCUGAUAUCUGAUGUUUAAGUGUCAAGCCACCAUCCAGGACAACACCAAGAUUCCGCACACUAUCAGUGGUUUUUAAUUCUGAAUCCCCGAGUUUAAGUCCAGUUGGUUGGCUAUGCAGCAGUCUUGUCCUUUGAUGUUGCGGUCCUAUCAUAAGGACCUCUGUUUUGUCCAGGUUCAGUCGCAGCCAACUGGCACUCAUCAAGUCCUGGAGUUCAGCUAGACAGCCAUUUAGGGUUGCUAUUGGGUUAUCCGUGCCGGGAGCAAAGGACAAGUACAGUUGUGUAUCAUCUGCAUAGCAGUGGUAGACUAGCCCAUGGCGCCUGAUUAUUUCAUCCAGCGGUAGCAUGUAUACUGCAAAAAGCAUAUAUAUAUAAUCUAUCCCAAAAGAAAUACCUACUGUAUAGGCACUCAGAGACAGCAAUGAAGCAUUGCCGGCUUAUUGUGAUGAUUACAUACUGUAUACUGUGUGUGUGUGUGUGUGUGUGUGUGUGUGUAUGUAUGUAUGUAUAUAUAUAUAUAUAUAUAUUACUCUGUAUAUACUGUAAUGUAUGUACAGUUUAAUGUAUACAGUAGGUAUAUAAUACAGUAUACUGCACAUACAGUCUACUGUAUAUACAGUAAUCUCUUUCAUUACUGUAUCUGAUUCAUUAUUUUUGGCUCUUCACAGGAUAUCUCCCAUGAUAAUAAAGAAAAGAGAGUGGAACAGGCACGGCGAUGGAUUGAGAGUGGUGAAACAUUUCAUGAUGUCAUUUUCACAGAUGAAUCGUCUGUUGCCCUUGAGCGGUUCUCCAGAAUGUCAUUCCGGAAACGUAACCAUAUAUCAUUAAAACCACGCCCAAAGCAUCCAUUGAAAGUCCAUGUAUGGGGAGGCAUAAUACGAUUAGGAGCUGGUCCCCUAUUAUUUUUCGAAGGGAUCAUGGAUAAGACAUUUUUCCAAGAAACAAUAGUAGAGGGAUGUAUGGUGCCAUUUGUGAAUAAAUAUUACCCAACUCACCAUAGGAUAUUCCAAGACAAUGACCCUAAACACUCCGCCUCUGCCAAAUUUAUGGAAGAGAAAGGUAUGAAUUGGGAAUGCACACCACCAGAAUCACCAGACAUGAAUCCAAUUGAAUUAGUGUGGGCUCAAUUGAAGAGGUACAUUAGGAGUGUUACAAAGCCAACAACAAAACAGCAGCUGUUGGAUGGGAUAAAGAAAUUUUGGCUAGAAGUACUCACACCUGAACAUUGUAAUAAUUAUAUAAAUCACCUGUAUAAAGUAUUACUUGUUAUAGUCGAAAGAAAUGGUCAAGCCACAAAUAUGUA